rnacentral:rRNA from 1 species
UACGUAGGUGGCGAGCGUUGUCCGGAUUUACUGGGCGUAAAGGGCGUGCAGGCGGUUUGUUAAGUGCAGGGUGAAAGCUCCCGGCUCAACUGGGAGAGGUCCUUGCAUACUGGCGAACUCGAGGGAGGCAGAGGAAAGUGGAAUUCCCGGUGUAGUGGUGAUAUGCGUAGAUAUCGUAAGGAAGACCAGUGGCGAAGGCGAGUCUCUGGACAGUUACUGACGCUGAGGCACGAAGGCCAGGGGAGCAAACGGG